AGAGCGAACGCUGGCGGCAGGCUUAACACAUGCAAGUCGAGCGCCCCGCAAGGGGAGCGGCAGACGGGAGAGUAACACGUGGGAACGUACCUUUCGGUUCGGAACAACCCAGGGAAACUUGGGCUAAUACCGGAUACGUCCGUAAGGAGAAAGAUUUAUCGCCGAAAGAUCGGCCCGCGUCUGAUUAGCUAGUUGGUGAGGUAACGGCUCACCAAGGCGACGAUCAGUAGCUGGUCUGAGAGGAUGAUCAGCCUCACUGGGACUGAGACACGGCCCAGACUCCUACGGGAGGCAGCAGUGGGGAAUAUUGGACAAUGGGCGCAAGCCUGAUCCAGCCAUGCCGCGUGAGUGAUGAAGGCCCUAGGGUUGUAAAGCUCUUUUGUGCGGGAAGAUAAUGACGGUACCGCAAGAAUAAGCCCGGCUAACUUCGUGCCAGCAGCCGC
rnacentral:rRNA from 1 species